AUUGAACGCUGGCGGCAGGCCUAACACAUGCAAGUCGAACGGUAACAGGAAGCAGCUUGCUUCUUUGCUGACGAGUGGCGGACGGGUGAGUAAUGUCUGGGACACUGCCUGAUGGAGGGGGAUAACUACUGGAAACGGUAGCUACUACCGCAUAACGUCGCAAGACCAAAGAGGUGGACCUUCGGGCCUCUUGCCAUCGGAUGUGCCCAGUUGGGAUUAGCUAGUAGGUGGGGUAACGGCUCACCUAGGCGACGAUCCCUAGCUGGUCUGAGAGGAUGACCAGCCACACUGGAACUGAGACACGGUCCAGACUCCUACGGGAGGCAGCAGUGGGGAAUAUUGCACAAUGGGCGCAAGCCUGAUGCAGCCAUGCCGCGUGUAUGAAGAAGGCCUUCGGGUUGUAAAGUACUUUCAGCGGGGAGGAAGGGAGUAAAGUUAAUACCUUUGCUCAUUGACGUUACCCGCAGAAGAAGCACCGGCUAACUCCGUG
rnacentral:rRNA from 1 species